rnacentral:ncRNA from 17 species
AAAAUUGAAUAUCGUUUUACUUGUUUAUGUCGUGAAUUGGCACGACGUUUCUACAAGGUGCCGGAACACCUAACAAUAAGUAAGUCAGCAGUGAGA